GGUGGUGUUAGGGAUGCGGCCGUCUUGCCGUCUUUCCCUCUUUCCAUCCCCCGCCCGCGGUGACGGACGGGCUGUCUGGAGGGGUUGAGGGUGCCGUUGGCGACCCGAAUGUCGGCUCCUUUUAAAACCCCGCAACCGGAAACCCGCCCUGCCGGAAACAGCCUGGAAUCUAAUAGGAGGGGAAAAGGGAAAAUAAAUGAAGCUGGAUAAAUAGGAGCCCAGCUUCACACGGCCAGGCUUUCCGGGAUACUAGGAUCCCUACCCCUGCCAUUUCCAAUUCACGGCUGCUUGAAGAAGACGAGAUUGUUCCUUUUUUCCAAAAAGAUUCAACUCACCAGGAAAAAUAAAUGUCCCGAGCGGACGAAGGAGAGAUGAAGGACAAUUCACAAAAACACCAAUUCAAGUAGAAACUACUAGUUAAAUUGCUUGAGAGGAGAGUACUAAUUGGUUGCUAAGUGAACUCUGGUUAGAGGCAUUCCAUGGAGAUCACAGCUGUUAACCAUGAUUAAUUUUUAUCAGGUAAUUUUUUUUUAAUUGUGUGGAUUGAAUUAAAAUUAAAGUGUAAAUAAUGCCUGGCAGUUAAUUAUUGUUACUAACUGAUUUGGUUUUACUUUCAUAUGUUAUAUGUUCACAUUUUGCGCAUUAUCAAGUCUAUUUGUUCGUGCUGUUUAAUUUUGGUUGCUUAUUUUUUGCAGAGAUAAAAAAUGGUUAACAACAGUUCCCACGUGAACUCAUUCAUAAUACUUAAAAGAGUUAAGGGCAGAAUUGUACUGCUGCUGGGGACCUAUAAAUUUCCCAAGGUUACUUUCUCACUGUCCUGCUGGCUGCCUACUCCCAUCGUGCCCGUAAUUUGUGGGACCAAGCAAGGGUUGUGAUGGGCAUCCUGUUGUCGUUUAAGUGACCUCUUAUGUGGCCAAUUAAUGGUUGUAUCUCACCCAGCCUCAAUGUUAAGCUGGCAGGAAAGGAUCAUGAGGUCAGGGGAAGAGAGAGCCAGCAGUUCAAAGUAUUUGGAGGGUGAGGUCAGUAUACAUCUUUUUCCUUACUAGGUGUGCCAUUCCUCCCCACGCCAAGAUCAGCUUCAGCCUUCCCCUCAGAUGUCCCCACUCCACCUGGCCUUAACAUCAAGACCACACACCCAUCCACUACAUUUCCCCAAGCCUUUCUUCUCUCUGUCUCUAUAUUAACUUCUAUCUUGGAUCCAGGACUGUGAAUGUCAUUCAAGUCCACCAGUGGUCCAGCAGGGACUAAUGAACUGUUGGCCUUUCAGGUUGACUAUCAAUCUGAGUUGGACUUUGUCGCAAGAAAUCUUGUCUCCAGCCACAGCAGAAAAUAUCUGUGGGUACGUGAUUCAGUCCCCCACCCCCCCACCGACCCUGGAGUCUUCAGUGACAGGUACUUUAAAUGACAUCCAUGCUGAAUGUGUAUUCUUUAUAUUAUAAUGUACAUUGUAAAAUGUACGAGAUAAUGGGAACAGCAGAUGCUGGAGAAUCCAAGAUAACAAAGUGUGAAGCUGGAUGAACACAGCAGGCCAAGCAGCAUCUCAGGAGCACAAAAGCUGACGUUUCGGGCCUAGACCCUUCAUCAGAGGGUAAAAUGAUGAAGGUGUUGCAGGCUUGGUCAGCAUUUACUGUUCAUCCCUAUUUGCCCUGAGGGCAAUUAAGAGUCAACCACAUUGCUGUGGCCUGGAGACGCAGACCAGAACAACUCCCAUAUCGGUUGGCGAAACUUCCAACUAUAUGUUUCUUUUUAUAUCGAUGAGUAUAUGUCUCCCUGAACCAGCCCACAAAGUAAUGAUCAAUUUGAUUGCGGACAGAAGGAUUGCAUGAAAGGAAAUACAGAGGGAAAUGGGAAAUUCAGCGUUAUUCUGCUAAAGCUGGGAGCUCUUAUGAAGUGUGACAUCGUUUUGGAUAGCAAACAACUUCCCACGACUUUAAACCAUUCGUCAUGAUCUGCACAAAGAAUCAAUUAUCAGUAUUAAUCUUGGAUCACAAAGUAUGUCAUCUUCAAAGUACUGAAAACACACUUAACAAACAUUUUGACAUUGACAUCUCGGAAGAAGAACACAAGUUAAACAAGAAACAUUUGAUCUCGGACAAUAUCCCACACAUGGCAAAUAAUUUCAUCUGAUGAUGGGCUUUUUUAUGUUGCAAAGUGAACUAUUUUCUGCUGAUGAACAAAUCUUUCAACUAAUUGUACAUAACUAUGUGAUUGGUAAAUGUUGGGAAUUAAUACAACAUUCAGAAUAUCUAAUAACCUUCUGGGUAAAAUAGAAUGUUGAAGUUAUGUCUGUUUAUUGUUUACAUCUUAAGAAACAAAUCAUUGAAACUCACUGUGAAUCUUAUUUAUCAAAAAACGGAGGGAUGCAUUGUCUUGAAAAUUGCAUUGUAUAUUUUGUCCACUUGAGACCAUCAGUGGGUGUCUAGAAGGAGCAGUCUAUCUUCUAACAGCUUGUGCAAUUCUGAUUUUGAAUUUUCCUUGCCAAAUCUUACAAUUUCUUCCCAAGAACUUCACAUAGACUAUCAAUCCUUUCCGAGACUAUGUGCAUCAAUCUCCCUGACAACACUGAAGUUAUAUAACUGCUCUUUGAAGUAGUAAAAGCUAGAAAGAGAACCUUUCGCAAAUCAUUAGAAUACAGAUAAUAGUAUUUUAUUGUAACAUUCUGAAUCAAAUAUUCCAUUGAUUCUUACAUUCCUAACAAAUAAUCCGUAGCAGAGCAUAAGAAAGGUUAUCAGCAUAGCUGCCACGAGCUGAUGGAAAAGCAUAUGAUCGGCUUUUCAUAGCAAGCAUGAGGAGGGGUGAGUAAUCCUCAAACUGUCUCCCCCAGUGCUCAACAGAACAGAAAAGGUUAUUUUGUAUUCAAUGGAAGAGAAUAAUAAUAUACUUGUCAUGAUACACAGAAAUCUCAUAAAUUCCAGUACUUUGGAAAAUGUCUUUCAUAGAAAAGCAUUCAAAACUCAAGUUUCAGGAAAUGUAUGUGUGAUUUUUUUUUCUUUCAAGAAUAAAGUUGGUAAUAGGAUGAAAAUAUCAGCUGCUGACCUUUUCUAUAACUGUGUUCAUUACUGAUAUUUCAACUACACUUCCUGGGAAAUG